CACACCCAGGGUCGCCAGAGUAGGCAGCAGGCUGGGGGCUCAGGAGCAGGCUCAGCAGAGCCAGAGAUGAAGAUCAGGACUCUGAAGCUCAGAGAGCUGAAGUGACUUUCCGCCUAGCUGGAAAGGGAUGGAGCAGGACUUGUACUGCGGACUGCCAGACUCCAGAGCCCAUGCACUUUGCUCUGUGCCACACAUUUCGAAUGGCAGUGGGAUGGAGGAAAGGGGAACAAAAUCUGAGCGUCCCCCUCCUCCCAAGGUCUCCAGGACAGUCCCGGCUGCACCGGCCUCUGCCCCACCCCCGUGCUCAGUGGAGUCUUGCACACCCGCCCGAGAGGGACACCCCAGAUGAAAUAGCCGUCGGCUCUCGCGCCGGGUAUCCGUGCACCUUCGAUCUCCUGCCCCAAAAGCUCAGCCCGCGUCUCCCGCAUCCGCGGGCACUUGGUCCCGGGACAACGGAGAACCAGACCCCGGCACUGCCCCUAACACUAGCACAGCCCUUACACCAGCAAUGCCCUGAGGGCGAGCACCACCCUCUCUAGCGGCAGGGGCCCUCCGCCCACCGGCGGACUUGGCCUCUCUCCCGCUCUGACACUGUUCCUCAGGGUGUGCAUGGCCCCCGCCCCAGGCCAGCGCAGCCUUAAGGGCGAUCACUGCCCCCCUCAUCCCACUCUGUUCGCCCGGCCCAGGCGCCAGCUCAGGCCGUCCCCGGCCCGGCCCAGCCCGCGCACCCCGGAAGUGGGAGGGUGGCCCCCAAGGAACCGGCCCCGGGACCCUUCCCCGUCCGGGAGCAGCCUCAGGGGUCUCUACACACUGGUGCCGCCCUUUUUCGCACCCCCUCGGGCCCGCGC